rnacentral:rRNA from 1 species
CACUGACAUUAGAUACCCGUGUAGUCCAGGGUGUAAACGCUGCAGACUUGGUGUUGGGAACCCUUCGGGGGUGCUCAGUGCCGGAGAGAAGUUGUUAAGUCUGCUACUUGGGGAGUACGUCCGCAAGGAUGAAACUUAAAGGAAUUGGCGGGGGAGCACCGCAACGGGAGGAGCGUGCGGUUUAAUUGGAUUCAACGCCGAAAAACUCACCAGCAGCGACUGUUACUUGAAAGUCAGGUUGAUGACCUUACUAGAUUUUCAG